rnacentral:tRNA from 1 species
GCGAAAGUGGCGGAAUGGCAUACGCGCUACCUUGAGGUGGUAGUGGGAGAAAUCUCGUAGGGGUUCAAGUCCCCUCUUUCGCA